rnacentral:rRNA from 1 species
GACGAGGGGUCCAAGCGUUGUUCGGAAUCAUUGGGCGUAAAGCGGGUGUAGGCGGCUCUAUAAGUCAGAAGUGAAAGCCCCGAGCUUAACUUGGGAAGUGCUUUUGAUACUGCAGAGCUUGAAUGCGGGAGAGGGUAGUGGAAUUCCAGGUGUAGUGGUGAAAUGCGUAGAGAUCCGGAGGAACACCAGUGGCGAAGGCGACGUCCUGGGCUUGACCUGACGCUGAGACGCGACAGCACGGGGAGCGAACGGG